rnacentral:tRNA from 1 species
CGGAAGUAGCUCAAUGGCAGAGCAUCAGCUUCCCAAGCUGAGGGUUGCGGGUUCGAGUCCCGUUUUCCG